UACGUAGGGUGCGAGCGUUAAUCGGAAUUACUGGGCGUAAAGCGUGCGCAGGCGGUUCGUUGUGUCCGUCGUGAAAGCCCCGGGCUUAACCUGGGAACUGCGAUGGUAAACUAGCGAGCUGGAGUGUGGCAGAGGGGGGUGGAAUUCCGCGUGUAGCAGUGAAAUGCGUAGAGAUGCGGAGGAACACCGAUGGCGAAGGCAGCCCCCUGGGCUAACACUGACGCUCAGGCACGAAAGCGUGGGGAGCAAACAGG
rnacentral:rRNA from 1 species